UGGGGAAUAUUGGACAAUGGGCGAAAGCCUGAUCCAGCCAUGCCGCGUGUGUGAAGAAGGUCUUCGGAUUGUAAAGCACUUUAAGUUGGGAGGAAGGGCAGUAAGCGAAUACCUUGCUGUUUUGACGUUACCGACAGAAUAAGCACCGGCUAACUCUGUUCCAGCAGCCGCGGUAAUACAGAGGGUGCAAGCGUUAAUCGGAAUUACUGGGCGUAAAGCGCGCGUAGGUGGUUCGUUAAGUUGAAUGUGAAAGCCCCGGGCUCAACCUGGGAACUGCAUCCAAAACUGGCGAGCUAGAGUAGGGCAGAUGGUGGUGGAAUUUCCUGUGUAGCGGUGAAAUGCGUAGAUAUAGGAAGGAACACCAGUGGCGAAGGCGACCACCUGGGCUCAUACUGACACUGAGGUGCGAAAGCGUGGGGAGCAAACAGG
rnacentral:rRNA from 1 species